CUCCACUGUGAAGUGAUUACUUUUCUUGCUGGUACCUACUAAAGUACUUUGUGGGGAGAGAGACUGAUUAACAAAUCAAACGGAACAAAUUUAUUGUCUUUUUUACUCACAGUGUGAUCUGCCCUGUGAUUGGACUGAAGGGAUUUACAAUUUGUCUGUACCAGGCAUGGAACCAAGCUAUUCCGCAGUCGGGCAAACCUGGGUGAGAGGAAUUUCUCACAUUGCUGCACAUAAGCUAAUGUCUGUGAAAGGAUUGGCGCAGUAAAGAGAAGGAGAGCCAGACCAGGUUUGUCACAGGCAGGAAACUUUAUUUGAGCUCCUGGGCGAGGUUCACGGACCCAAGGUGAGGAUCGGUGAAGUCACGCGCCUUGCCAGGGGGAGGGAUGCUUUUCUAGGGUGAGGAGAGGUCUGGUGGGGAAACUGGGUUUGCUCGGUUUGGUAGGGCGGGAAAAGGUUUAUUGUCUGAUUUUUUCUAUGUGGGGGCUUCCUCAUUCCUGCCCCCUGCGGCGACCUUUCAGUCUGUCCUAGAGACGCUGAGAGAGCCCCUUUCUCUGCCCCAUUCAGCCUCCAGCUCCUGUGAGGGGAGGCUCCUUUUCCACCCCAGGCCCAUCAGUCAGCACCUCACCCUGCUGGACUUGCCAGCCAGCACAAGGGGCUCAUCCCGCGCCUUCCUCCCCAGGACACACACCUGCCCAGUGGGCUGCCUGCAAGUACGGGCACUGCACAGCCUCCAGGGGUUGCUAUUCACAGGCGUGUACCAGAGAGUUACUGUUCAUGUAAAUAGAAAAUUUGAGGCACUUGAAAGCGUGUCUUGAAAGAUGGUUGCUUUAUCUAAUCCACACAAAGGUAGCUGGUGGGAUCAAGGCCACUGCCAGCCUGAGAUCACCGUGUCUAGGAGACCUGUUGUUGGCACCGGGUCCACUUUCCUCCAUCUGUCUCCAUAAUCCUAGACUGUGCCAGCCUUCCCUAGCAGGCCAGCCCUAUGCCUACUUGGGAUGCCUACUGAGCUAGGAUGGGAAGAGCCUGGAAAUGUGGACUCCAGCCUCUGUGUCUGUCACCUGUGGCCUUGAUGGUGUUAACGCAGAAGGCUCUUGGGAGCGUGGAUGCGGGCACACGUGCCUGAUUGUGGACACCUGGAGUGUGGGUGUGCACGCAUGUGGACGUGUGCACACCGGAGCCUAGAGGCUGGGAUAAAAGCAGCGUCAGCGUCAGCAAUGAAGAGGAUGAGCAGCGUGACUAUAGAACAGGUGGGACCACGAGAUGACGCCAGAGAGAGCGAGAGAGGCCAGAGAGAGCCCAAAGAAAGAUGGUAGAGAUUUGGGGGUCUGGGAGGCUCCGUUGCUUGCCUCCCAGCCCCGCUGCACGGCCCAUGCCAGCCUCCUCACAAGCCAGCCUCCCGGCCUGCUGUGCCUGAGCGCCUGGUUCCCUGAGAGCAUUAAAGCCUGAAAAUUCCACCGAGGGCUCCGGGGCUCUACCCGUCUGCCAUAGUGACCCUGCCCUGCUUGGCGGCACAAGACAUUGCAUCAUAACGUGAUGUAAGUUUCGGGUGUUCAUGGUCGACAACCAAUGUGGGAAUGUACAUUACAUUAAGGUCACCAAAGUCCAAAAAUCUCCCCUUCUCCUCUUUAUCCUGAUCUACCUGACCUGUCCCCUUUUCUCUUCAUUUCUGGCAACCAGAAUUGGUCUUGUCGCCCACAGGUUUAUUUUCUGUAGUCAGACGAGCUGAGCUAACUUUCUGCAGGAAGUGAGC